UAUGGCCGGAGCAGGGGUUCGUGCAAAAAAUUUGCAGGAUUUCCUGAAUGCAGGUGUCAGGGAAGUACACAGUUCUGCCGGAACCCAGGUUGCCUCGCCAAUGCGUUAUCGCAAUCAGGGACUGUCGAUGUCAGCGGAUACGCAAGCGGAUGAAUUUUCCCGCAGUGUGGUUGACGGGGCGGCGGUUGCAGAGAUGAAAGGAAUCAUUGUUCGUCAUCAGGCCAACUGAUUUUUACCGUUGCAUCAUGUCGCCCAAUAUGAUGCUUGCUCGUACCAGGCCCCUGCAAUUUCAACAGGGGCCUUUUUUU
rnacentral:ncRNA from 1 species